CUGGCUCAGGACGAACGCUGGCGGCGUGCCUAAUACAUGCAAGUCGAGCGGACAGAUGGGAGCUUGCUCCCUGAUGUUAGCGGCGGACGGGUGAGUAACACGUGGGUAACCUGCCUGUAAGACUGGGAUAACUCCGGGAAACCGGGGCUAAUACCGGAUGGUUGUUUGAACCGCAUGGUUCAAACAUAAAAGGUGGCUUCGGCUACCACUUACAGAUGGACCCG
rnacentral:rRNA from 1 species